GUUAGUGCAUUAGAUUCCUGGGCAACUGCAUCUAGUAGAGUUGACUUAACACCAAGCAAAUCUCCUUUCUAGUCUAGGACUUAUAGCUUUGGAAAUUAAAUUAGUCCUGCAACUCCCCUAGCUGCACAUGAAUGCACAGAGAAGGCCCUCGCUCGGGUUCUUUGACAUCGACUCGGUUGCUAGGAAGAAUGCGGGCUUAGAGCCAAUAGAACUAGUGUUCCUUCGUCACCCUCUAGCGUACCGAACUUGUGAAAAGCAUGAUUUAAGAUAUGCACGGACAAAAGUAGCUGCUUAGGUUGCAUAUAUAAGAAUAGGAAUCGAAUCCACAGCUAUUGAUAUUGAAUCCGCUGUUCUCACCUUAAAAGCUGGGUAAGCCAAGGGGGGACUUUGAACUGUUAAGAGGUGCCUAGCGCUUUCAUCAAUAUGAAAGAGGAAGCUUCUGGGCUGUACCUGUACAACUAGGGAUUGGGGGACGUUGAAUAGUAAACUAAACGAAGAUGACGCUGUCCAAUUGGCCGAACGGAAGAUCGACAUGAGAAGCCGAUGUUCUUGGUACAGAAUCCCAUGCAGAUUUCUUAACUGUUUUGUUAGGCAUUGGCAUGAGCAAGAAAGCAGACAAGAGGAAAUCAGAAGAACGAGGAUUUGAAUCGCCUAUUCUUUCCUCUUCUUGUUUGCAAGAAAAAAAAAGUAACUAAACUAAACAGUAGACAGUAAACAGGAGGCAUAGUAGCAGAAAAUGAAAGAUGCCCAUCCUAUUGUAUUUGCAUUUGGAAAGAAAGAAGAAGAUAGGCUCUUUAUUCUUUUAUAGAAUCCUUUCUUAAAGUUAAGUUAAUCCGAAAAUGGUAAAUUGCGUAUAGUAUAUAAGAAAGAUAUCCACUCUAGCUUUUUAGGAAGAACACUGUUUGCAAGAUCCGGUCUUAGUGAGAGAGUUGGGAUUGAGCUUUCACUAAUACUAAUAGAAGAAUUUUUAGUAAAGGGAGGAAAGAGCUAGGUCUCAUAUAGAAGAAGGGGUUUUUUCGCUUUUCGACAGGAGAUGAUACAUAAGCGCUCUUGGUCUUCUAUCCGUAUCCGCUGCUCUUAGCUUAGUUAGAAUCCAAUGUUAGAAGUAAGAAUUCAAUAGGCAUCCCAAUAUCCGUUUUCUUAGAUAGAUAAGAGAUCAGCUACAGUAAUGGUCAUACCCCUCCUCCCCCUCGAUUUGAGGAAGAAAUCUCAAGUAUUCGCCUACGAGGUCUUCACAUAAUAGGUUGAAAAAAUCCUUUUUAGGGAGAAGUUGUUGAUACACAGCUAUUGAUAUUGAAUCCGCUGUUCUCACCUAAAAAGUUGGGUAAGCCAAGGGGGGACUUUGAACUGUUAAGAGGUGCCUAGCGCUUUCAUCAAUAUGAAAGAGGAAGCUUCUGGGCUGUACCUGUACAACUAGGGAUUGGGGGACGUUGAAUAGUAAACUAAACGAAGAUGACGCUGUCCAAUUGGCCGAACGGAAGAUCGACAUGAGAAGCCGAUGUUCUUGGUACAGAAUCCCAUGCAGAUUUCUUAACUGUUUUGUUAGGCAUUGGCAUGAGCA
rnacentral:lncRNA from 1 species